rnacentral:lncRNA from 1 species
UGAGAUGAUUGAAUUACGACUGCAAAAUGAAGCAAAAAAGUUAGCUUUUAAAGAAAUAAAAGAGGAAAAUAAAAUAUUGCUAAAAAACUUAGCUUCUAUCGAUGACGUUAAUAUUCGUGAAUACAUUCGAUCUGAACAAGAAAGAAUCAUACGAAAAAUGCGUCAAGAGCAACAACAACAAUCAUCUUCGGUUACACAAAAUUUGUUGAACAAUAUUUUGGAGAUUUUGGAGGUUCCGGAGCAAAUUUACCA